ACAGUGCACCCAGCUGGGCGCUUCGGCAGUUUGCAGCUGCGGCGGGGUCGGGUCCACCCGCGGUCCCCGGAAUGCCGGACGGCUGAUCCCGGGUGCUGGUCACUCGCCGAUUCGGGGCUGGGAAGGUUUGCCAGAAGCGGGAAAGAUGGGAGAUCUGAGCGCUCUCUUGGCAUCGCCACACCCAGGACUUGCUCGUGCCGCAAUUCCCCACGGAAACAACCGAGUUGAAACGAGAAGCUUGCUCUCUGGGUGCAGUAGCUAGAAGGCUUCAGAUUAUUGUGGCUGUCACUCAGGUUUUCUGCUCAUUGGUAGACAAAGGGUGAGGAGGUGACUGAAAUUGGAACAGUGGAAGGACCCUUCACCAAAACCUGGAACUUCAGAAGAAUGGCAGGGCUGAAAAUGAUUAGUGUUAAUUCAUUCCAGUUGUGUUACCCUACCCAUAAGACUGCCUGAAGGAGCCUGAACUUCCACGUGCUGUCUUCCAUAUAAUGUGAUCUGAGGUGAAGAGCAUGGUCCCUGGAGUUGAACUGCCUGAAGUAAAUCCCAAAAUAGAAAAAUAAAAAUAAAACAGUGGUUUUAUUGUUUU
rnacentral:lncRNA from 1 species